GCCAGCAGCCAUAUCACCCUGCAACUCACAACUGGCAACCUACUGAAGCUAAGCAGGUGUGAGCCUGGUCAGUACCUGGAUAGGACCUCCUGGGAAAAACUAAGGUUGCUGCUUAGU
rnacentral:rRNA from 1 species